GAAAAUAAGAAUUUGUUCUAAACUGACUUGCCUAGUUAAAUAAAGGAUAAAUAAAUUAAAAUUGAGCAUCUUGAUCUUAAUGAGGAAGCUAAAUUGAAUGAUUUUACAAGGCUAGAGGAGCCUUCAUACGGUCCAGGAAACAAUGGCGUGAAAAGGGCAUAAAGAACAGCAGAUAACAGUCUUUAGAACUUUGUUUGAGGCUUCUACUGUGAGGUGAAUGAGAGGGGGCUGAAUGAGAGGGGGCUGAAUGAGAGGGGGCUGAAUGAGAGGGGAUUGAGGUGUCUGGCCGAGUGCCACAGGCUAAAUGAGAGGGGGCUGAAUGAGAGGGGAUUGAGGUGUCUGGCCGAGUGCCACAGGCUGAAUGAGAGGGGGCUGAAUGAGAGGGGAUUGAGGUGUCUGGC
ensembl:lncRNA